UAAGGAAUAUUGGUCAAUGGAGGAAACUCUGAACCAGCUAUCCCGCGUGAAGGAUGAAGGGGCUCUGCCUUGUAAACUUCUUUUGUCUGGGGCGAAAAAGCUCGAUUUAUCGAGAACUGACGGUACCAGAAGAAUAAGCACCGGCUAACUCCGUGCCAGCAGCCGCGGUAAUACGGAGGGUGCAAGCGUUAUCCGGAAUCACUGGGUUUAAAGGGUGCGUAGGCGGCUUAAUAAGUCAGUGGUGAAAGGCUGUGGCUUAACCAUGGAAUUGCCAUUGAUACUGUUGAGCUUGAAUCAGGUUGAGGUUGGCGGAAUGUGACAUGUAGCGGUGAAAUGCUUAGAUAUGUCAUGGAACACCGAUUGCGAAGGCAGCUGACUGGACCUGUAUUGACGCUGAGGCACGAAAGCGUGGGGAGCGAACAGG
rnacentral:rRNA from 1 species